GGGGUAUAGCUCAGCCGGGAGAGUGCUUGACUGGCAGUCAAGAGGUCACGGGUUCGAGCCCCGUUAUCUCC
rnacentral:tRNA from 1 species